rnacentral:rRNA from 1 species
GCGGAAAGCUCAUUAGAAAAGUGUAAAUGAAAAGUCAUAAUAAUAAUAUGCAUACCUUCUGUAAUUCUGAGGCUAAUGGAUGCAGGCGAUAAGGCAGUUCCAAAACAUGCACAUGAUGAGUUGAAAUAUCACCAAUUUAUUGGGAAUAUGUGCAAUACAAUUAUGUAAGCUGUUGCUUGUCACAUAGGCGAUUAUAUUCUUACCUAUCAGCUUGCGAUGAUACGCUAGUAACGUAUUAUGGCUGUUACGGGUGGCGAAGAAUUAGGGUUUGAUCUCGGAGAGGACGCUUGAGAAAUAGCGGCUACAUCUAAGGAAGGCAGCAGGCGCGUAAAUUACCCAAUCUUGACACAAGGAGGUAGUGACAAGAAAUAACUGUGUGUGGCUCUAUGCUGCACAUCCGGAAUGUGUGACAGGUUAAGCGUGUUGCGAGUAGCUAUUGGAGGGCAAGUCUGGUGCCAGCAGCCGCGGUAAUUCCAGCUCCAAGAGUGUAUAUUAAAGUUGUUGCGGUUGAAAAGCUCGUAGUUGGAUUUAUGCUAUGCUGGUACAGUCGACCCCCUGGGUAGGACUUGUAUUGUUGCAUUGCACACUGUAGAAUUUGUGUAUGUUUUUCAGUAAAUGUGCAGAAUACUACUUAGUUACUUUGAGGAAAGUGGAGUGUCACACGCAGGUUGCGCCGUGAACAUGCUAGCAUGGCAUGACGCUGUAUGACUACGAGUCUUUUUGAACGGUUUCGGGACACGUGGUAAUGAUUGAUAUGAGGUGUUGGGGAUACUCAUAUUUGACAGUUAGAGGUGAAAUUCUUGGAUUUGUCAAAGAUGAACAAAUGCAAUAGCAUUUAUCAUGGAUGUUUCAUUUGAUCAAGAACGAAAGUUAGGGGAUCGAAGACGAUCAGAUACCGUCCUAGUCUUAACCAUAAACUAUGCCAACUGGAAAUUGGAAUAUAUGGAGAGAAAAUAUAUUCAGUAUUGUGCCUGAAAAGAGUAAGUGUGUGGGCUCCGGGGGGAGUAUAGUUGCAAGACUGAAACUUAAAGGAAUUGACGGAAGGGCACCACCAGGAGUGGAGCCUGCG